rnacentral:rRNA from 1 species
AGUCGAGCGGCAGCACGGGUACUUGUACCUGGUGGCGAGCGGCGGACGGGUGAGUAAUGCCUAGGAAUCUGCCUAGUAGUGGGGGAUAACGUCCGGAAACGGGCGCUAAUACCGCAUACGUCCUACGGGAGAAAGUGGGGGAUCUUCGGACCUCACGCUAUUAGAUGAGCCUAGGUCGGAUUAGCUAGUUGGUGAGGUAAUGGCUCACCAAGGCGACGAUCCGUAACUGGUCUGAGAGGAUGAUCAGUCACACUGGAACUGAGACACGGUCCACACUCCUACGGGAGGCAGCAGUGGGGAAUAUUGGACAAUGGGCGAAAGCCUGAUCCAGCCAUGCCGCGUGUGUGAAGAAGGUCUUCGGAUUGUAAAGCACUUUAAGUUGGGAGGAAGGGCAGUUACCUAAUACGUGAUUGUUUUGACGUUACCGACAGAAUAAGCACCGGCUAACUCUGUGCCAGCAGCCGCGGUAAUACAGAGGGUGCAAGCGUUAAUCGGAACUACUGGGCGUAAAGCGCGCGUAGGUGGUUUGUUAAGUUGGAUGUGAAAGCCCC